rnacentral:rRNA from 1 species
AACGAACGCUGGCGGCAUGCCUAACACAUGCAAGUCGAACGAGACCUUCGGGUCUAGUGGCGCACGGGUGCGUAACGCGUGGGAACCUGCCCUUAGGUUCGGAAUAACUCCCCGAAAGGGGUGCUAAUACCGGAUAAUGUCUUCGGACCAAAGAUUUAUCGCCUUUGGAUGGGCCCGCGUUGGAUUAGCUAGUUGGUAGGGUAAAAGCCUACCAAGGCGACGAUCCAUAGCUGGUCUGAGAGGAUGAUCAGCCACACUGGGACUGAGACACGGCCCAGACUCCUACGGGAGGCAGCAGUGGGGAAUAUUGGACAAUGGGCGAAAGCCUGAUCCAGCAAUGCCGCGUGAGUGAUGAAGGCCUUAGGGUUGUAAAGCUCUUUUAACCGGGAUGAUAAUGACAGUACUGGGAGAAUAAGCUCCGGCUAACUCCGUG